rnacentral:rRNA from 1 species
GUGGUAAUUCUAGAGCUAAUACAUGCUAAAAACCUCGACUUCGGAAGGGGUGUAUUUAUUAGAUAAAAAACCAAUGCCCUUCGGGGCUCCUUGGUGAUUCAUGAUAACUUAACGAAUCGCAUGGCCUUGUGCCGGCGAUGGUUCAUUCAAAUUUCUGCCCUAUCAACUUUCGAUGGUAGGAUAGUGGCCUACCAUGGUUUCAACGGGUAACGGGGAAUUAGGGUUCUAUUCCGGAGAGGGAGCCUGAGAAACGGCUACCACAUCCAAGGAAGGCAGCAGGCGCGCAAAUUACCCAAUCCCGACACGGGGAGGUAGUGACAAUAAAUACUGAUACGGAGCUCUUUUGGGUUUCGUAAUUGGAAUGAGUACAAUUUAAAUCCCUUAACGAGGAACAAUUGGAGGGCAAGUCUGGUGCCAGCAGCCGCGGUAAUUCCAGCUCCAAUAGCGUAUAUUAAAGUUGUUGCAGUUAAAAAGCUCGUAGUUGAACCUUGGGCCUGGCUGGCCGGUCCGCCUCACCGCGUGCACUGGUCCGGCCGGGCCUUUCCUUCUGGGGAACCGCAUGCCCUUCACUGGGUGUGUCGGGGAUCCAGGACUUUUACUUUGAAAAAAUUAGAGUGUUCAAAGCAGGCCUAUGCUCGAAUACAUUAGCAUGGAAUAAUAGAAUAGGACGUGUGGUUCUAUUUUGUUGGUUUCUAG